rnacentral:misc_RNA from 1 species
UACGGAGGGUGCAAGCGUUACUCGGAAUUACUGGGCGUAAAGCGCACGCAGGCGGUUUGUCAAGUCGGACGUGAAAUUCCUGGGCUCAACCUGGGAACUGCAUUUGAAACUGGCAGGCUAGAGUGUUGUAGAGGGGGGUAGAAUUCCAGGUGUAGCGGUGAAAUGCGUAGAGAUCUGGAGGAAUACCGGUGGCGAAGGCGGCCCCCUGGACAAAGACUGACGCUCAGGUGCGAAAGCGUGGGGAGCAAACAGG